rnacentral:rRNA from 1 species
UACGUAGGGUGCAAGCGUUUGUCCGGAAUUUAUUGGGCGUAAAGAGCUCGUAGGCGGUCUGUCGCGUCGGCUGUGAAAACCCGGAGCUCAACUCCGGGCCUGCAGUCGAUACGGGGCAGACUGGGAGUUCGGCAGGGGGAGACUGGAAUUCCUGGUGUAGCGGUGAAAUGCGCAGAUAUCAGGAGGAACACCGGUGGCGAAGGCGGGUCUCUGGGCCGAUACUGACGU